rnacentral:rRNA from 1 species
CGAGUGCGGGCCCUCUGGGUCCACCUCCCAUCCGUGUCUAUCUGUACCCUGUUGCUUCGGCGUGGCCACGGCCCGCCGGAGACUAACAUUUGAACGCUGUCUGAAGUUUGCAGUCUGAGUUUUUAGUUAAACAAUCGUUAAAACUUUCAACAACGGAUCUCUUGGUUCCGGCAUCGAUGAAGAACGCAGCGAAAUGCGAUAAUUAAUGUGAAUUGCAGAAUUCAGUGAAUCAUCGAGUCUUUGAACGCACAUUGCGCCCCCUGGUAUUCCGGGGGGCAUGCCUGUCCGAGCGUCAUUGCUGCCCUCAAGCACGGCUUGUGUGUUGGGCUUCCGUCCCUGGCAACGGGGACGGGCCCAAAAGGCAGUGGCGGCACCAUGUCUGGUCCUCGAGCGUAUGGGGCUUUGUCACCCGCUCCCGUAGGUCCAGCUGGCAGCUAGCCUCGCAACCAAUCUUUUUAACCAGGUUGACCUCGGAUCAGGUAGGGAUACCCGCUGAACUUAAGCAUAUCAAUAAGCGGA